rnacentral:rRNA from 1 species
ACGUCCUACGGGGCGCAGCAGUGGGGAAUAUUGGGCAAUGGGCGCAAGCCUGACCCAGCAACGCCGCGUGAAGGAAGAAGGCUCUCGGGCUGUAAACUUCUUUUAUCAGGGACGAAGCAGGUGACGGUACCUGAUGAAUAAGCCUCGGCUAACUACGUGCCAGCAGCCGCGGUAAUACGUAGGUGGCAAGCGUUAUCCGGAUUUACUGGGUGUAAAGGGCGUGUAGGCGGGAAAGCAAGUCAGAUGUGAAAACCAUGGGCUCAACCUGUGGCCUGCAUUUGAAACUGUUUUUCUUGAGUACUGGA